rnacentral:rRNA from 1 species
GACGAACGCUGGCGGCGUGCCUAAUACAUGCAAGUAGAACGCUGAAGGAGGAGCUUGCUUCUCUGGAUGAGUUGCGAACGGGUGAGUAACGCGUAGGUAACCUGCCUGGUAGCGGGGGAUAACUAUUGGAAACGAUAGCUAAUACCGCAUAAGAGUAGAUGUCGCAUGACAUUUGCUUAAAAGGUGCAAUUGCAUCACUACCAGAUGGACCUGCGUUGUAUUAGCUAGUUGGUGAGGUAACGGCUCACCAAGGCAACGAUACAUAGCCGACCUGAGAGGGGGGUCGGCCACACUGGGACUGAGACACGGCCCAGACUCCUACGGGAGGCAGCAGUAGGGGAUCUUCGGCAAUGGACGGAAGUCUGAACGGGCAACGCCGCGUGAGUGAAGAAGGGUUUCGGAUCGUAAAGCUCUGUUGUAAGGGAAGAACGAGUGUGAGAGUGGAAAGUUCACACUGUGACGGUAUCUUACCAGAAAGGGACGGCUAACUACGUG